AUAAACGCUGGCGGCAUGCCUAAGACAUGCAAGUCGAACGAAGUGCCCCAUUGACGUUGGAAUGAAAUUGAUGAGCUUGCUCUGAUAUGGAAUGAAAACUGAUUUGGAUUCUGCACUUAGUGGCGAACGGGUGAGUAACACGUGGGUUAUCUGCCUUCAAGUUGGGGAUAACAGUUAGAAAUGACUGCUAAUACCGAAUGUACUAGUAAUAGUAAAGGAGCCCUUAAAGCUUCGCUUGAAGAUGAGCCUGCGGUGUAUUAGCUAGUUGGUGGGGUAAUGGCCUACCAAGGCGACGAUGCAUAGCCGGACUGAGAGGUUGAUCGGCCACACUGGGACUGAGACACGGCCCAGACUCCUACGGGAGACAGCAGUUAGGAAUAUUCGGCAAUGGGCGAAAGCCUGACCGAGCAAUGCCGCGUGUGUGAUGAAGGUCCUUUGGAUUGUAAAACACUUUUAUUUGGGAAGAACUGUAAGUAUAGGAAAUGAUACUUACUUGACGGUACCUUUUGAAUAAGCCCCGGCUAACUACGUGCCAGCAGCCGCGGUAAUACGUAGGGGGCGAGCGUUAUCCGGAUUUAUUGGGCGUAAAGCGUGUGUAGGCGGUUUAUUAAGUCUGAGAUGAAAGACUGUGGCUUAACCACAGUUUGUUUCGGAAACUGGUAGACUAGAGUGCAGUAGAGGCAAAUGGAAUUCAUAGUGUAGCGGUGGAAUGCGUAGAUAUUAUGAGGAACAUCAGUGGCGAAGGCGAUUUGCUGGGCUGUUACUGACGCUGAGACACGAAAGCGUGGGGAGCAAAUAGGAUUAGAUACCCUAGUAGUCCACGCCGUAAACGAUGAGCACUAAGUGUCGGGCAACCGGUGCUGAAGUUAACACAUUAAGUGCUCCGCCUGAGUAGUACGGUCGCAAGACUGAAACUCAAAGGAAUUGACGGGGACCCGCACAAGCGGUGGAGCAUGUGGUUUAAUUCGAAGCAACGCGAAGAACCUUACCAGGUCUUGACAUCCCGAUGAAAAACCCGUAACGGGGUUCGCUCUUCGGAGCAUCGGAGACAGGUGGUGCAUGGUUGUCGUCAGCUCGUGUCGUGAGAUGUUCGGUUAAGUCCGCUAACGAGCGCAACCCUUGUCAUUAGUUACUAACAUUUGGUUGAGAACUCUAAUGAGACUGCCGGUAAUAAACCGGAGGAAGGUGGGGAUGACGUCAAAUCAUCAUGCCCCUUACGUCUUGGGCUACAGGCGUGCUACAAUGGCUGGUACAAUGAGUCGCGAUCCCGCGAGGAGGAGCAAAUCUAAAAAGCCAGUCGUAGUUCGGAUUGAAGUCUGCAACUCGACUUCAUGAAGCUGAAAUCGCUAGUAAUCCUGGAUCAGAAUGCCAGGGUGAAUACGUUCUCGGGUGUUGUACACACCGCCCGUCAAGGCAUGGGAGUCGGUAAUAUCCGAAGUAGGUAGCCUAACCCGCAAGGGAGGGGGCCUCCUAAGAUAGGACCGGUGACUGGGC
rnacentral:rRNA from 1 species